rnacentral:rRNA from 1 species
UCUUCGGCAAUGGGCGCAAGCCUGACCGAGCGACGCCGCGUGCGGGAUGAAGGCCUUCGGGUUGUAAACCGCUGUCGUAGAGGAGGAAAUGCAGGGGGGUUCUCCCUUCUGUUUGACCUAUUCUAGGAGGAAGUACGGGCUAAGUUCGUGCCAGCAGCCGCGGUAAGACGAACCGUACAAACGUUACUCGGAAUUACUGGGCUUAAAGGGUGCGUAGGCUGCGCGGAAAGUUGGGUGUGAAAGCCCUCGGCUCAACCGAGGAAUUGCACUCAAAACUACCGUGCUUGAGGGAGACAGAGGUAAGCGGAACUCAAGGUGGAGCGGUGAAAUGCGUUGAUAUCUUGAGGAACACCGGUGGCGAAGGCGGCUUACUGGGUCUUUUCUGACGCUGAGGCACGAAAGCUAUGGUAGCAAACGGGAUUAGAUACCCCGGUAGUCUUAGCUGUAAACGAUGAGCACUUGAUUGGAGGGUCCUCCAUAGCCUUCCAGUCGUAGCGAAAGUGUUAAGUGCUCCGCCUGGGGA